GGAUUACAAUUUUUUUUAUUUAAUACCAAAGAAAUGAAAUUUUUUAAAUUGAAAAAAUAUUAAUUUGCGAAUUAUAUUUUUGCUGAGAUCACCACUAGCAACUAUAUAAAUUUACACAUUAUAAUUUAAAUAUUUGCAUGUAAUGUCUUUUUAAUUGUGUGUUCUGUGAGGUGUAACCUGUCACAUAAUUUGUUGUCUUGAUAAUAAAAUGAGACGUUGUGCAUGAAAGUUUCAGUGGGGGAAAAAAGCAGUUUCACUGAGUUCAAAUUCAUCCAUAGCGCCAAAAUACGCACGGAGAAAGCAAGGAUCAGCUUUCAGUUUGUUGCAUUUUUUAUGUAUUUAUUAACACAAACACCUACUGUUAUGUCUUUCAAUAAAUAAUGUUAUAUUUGUGAGAGUUUUUAUUUAGAAUAUUGUAGACUUCUGGAAGAAAUAUGUGCUCACUCACAUAACUGUGAUUUUCUAGGCUAAAUAUGCGACCGUUCUCAAAGGCACAAUACCUGGACAUAUUGAUCAUAUUUAUCUUUUUUCUCCUUAGUGCAGUUUUUUUUUUAGAAAUGCAAUUGUGUGAUUUGACCACAAGAGAGCUCCAUUGUCCACUUUAGUUCAGCUGUUUAGACUAAACUAAAUCUGAUGGUUUUCUGUCCCAACAAGUACACUUUCACUGCAAUUUACUGAAAAAGGUCAAAAAAAAAUUUGAAGAUGAAAAAAAUAUACAAGUUUUAGCUUGUACCUUUGUCUUAACACCACCUCCAUCAUAGCAUAUUUGUCCAACAUAGCAGAAGAAACACAUCCUGACAGCUAAGUAUGGUUACUGUUCAAUAAGAAAGAAAUCUUAUACAUGUCUGAGGAAGUUACUGUCAGAUACUGUACUUUAUGUAUAUGUUUCUAUGCUUAAAUACGUGUUAGUAGAUCAGGUGAAAUUUGCUAGUUAGAUAAUUCAUUGGGUAAGUUAGUUAACUUUAGCCAUGUGUAGCUGCAGUGAUGAGUUGGUAUAGUGUAUAGUUGGUACUGUUGUUGCCUGAAUUUCCAAGGGUUGCUGGUUCAGUUCUCAGCUUUGUAUAAUUUUGUAGAGUUUUACAGUUCCUCCUGGGCUAGUGUGGGUUUCCUACAGGUUCUCCAGUUUUCUCCCACAUCUUGAAAAUACGCCACUUAAUGGUUUAGCUAAUGGUCUGACUUGGGAGACUACCACGACUCUGAG
ensembl:lncRNA